GAUGAACGCUGGCGGCGUGCCUAAUACAUGCAAGUCGAGCGAACAGACGAGGAGCUUGCUCCUCUGACGUUAGCGGCGGACGGGUGAGUAACACGUGGAUAACCUACCUAUAAGACUGGGAUAACUUCGGGAAACCGGAGCUAAUACCGGAUAAUAUAUUGAACCGCAUGGUUCAAUAGUGAAAGACGGUUUUGCUGUCACGUAUAGAUGGAUCCGCGCCGCAUUAGCUAGUUGGUAAGGUAACGGCUUACCAAGGCGACGAUGCGUAGCCGACCUGAGAGAGUGAUCGGCCACACGGGAACUGAGACACGGUCCAGACGCCUACGGGAGGCAGCAGUAGGGAAUCUUCCGCAAUGGGCGAAAGCCUGACGGAGCGACGCCGCGUGAGUGAUGAAGGUCUUCGGAUCGUAAAACUCUGUUAUUAGGGAAGAACAAAUGUGUAAGUAACUAUGCACGUCUUGACGGUACCUAAUCAGAAAGCCACGGCUAACUACGUG
rnacentral:rRNA from 1 species